rnacentral:tRNA from 6 species
GCGGAAGUGGCGAAAUUGGUAGACGCACCAGAUUUAGGUUCUGGCGCCGUAAGGUGUGAGAGUUCGAGUCUCUCCUUCCGCACCA